rnacentral:rRNA from 1 species
UACGUAGGUGGCAAGCGUUGUCCGGAUUUACUGGGCGUAAAGAGCGCGCAGGCGGUCGUUCAAGUCGCGUGUGAAAGCCCCCGGCUCAACUGGGGAGGGUCACGCGAUACUGAUCGACUGGAAGGCAGGAGAGGGUAGUGGAAUUCCCGGUGUAGUGGUGAAAUGCGUAGAUAUCGGGAGGAACACCAGUGGCGAAGGCAGGUCUCUGGGCCACUACUGACGCUGAGAAGCGAAAGCAUGGGGAGCGAACAGG